UACGUAGGGUCCGAGCGUUAAUCGGAAUUACUGGGCGUAAAGCGUGCGCAGGCGGUUUUGUAAGCCAGAUGUGAAAUCCCCGGGCUCAACCUGGGAACUGCAUUUGGGACUGCAAGGCUUGAGUACGGCAGAGGGGGGUAGAAUUCCUGGUGUAGCAGUGAAAUGCGUAGAUAUCAGGAGGACUACCGCUGGCGAACUCCGCCCCCUGGGUCGCGCCUGACGCUGAGGCGCUCUAUCGUGGGGAGCAAACAGG
rnacentral:rRNA from 1 species